AGCUGGAAACAGAAACAACAUUGCUUUCAUGCUGUCUUCGCAGAAAAGUGUUAUUUUUUUCUUCCGGAAAAUAAGCAUUGUGGCAUACUGCAAAACGGAUUUAUUUUUUCAAGAUUCAGUUCUGCACCAGCAACCAUAUUAGUGACUUGCGCAUACUCAUACGGCAUCGACGAGACGCUGGUCGUGGGUACCUUAGGGCGGAAAUGACUAAUUCGUUAAUCGUUCGGUUCCACACGGACAAACAAGGAAACGUAUGUUUCGAGAUGGUUCCAUUAUCAUUAAAAAAUAGUAGCUGUUGUACGAGCCAAGGAAUAGUGCCGGAAGCUGGAUAUACGAAAGGGAAAGCGAAAGGGAAUAGUUUCAAGGCCAAGAGGCGUCGCAUCGCGGCGAAAAUGCAGUUUGUUUAUCCGCUGCGUAGGAAAUAGGAUGCGGAUCUCAGAGACAGAGGAUGGAUGGACAGAGGAUAUUUUUUUCGCUAAGAAUCAGGAAAGAAGCUUUGGUGCUACAUGUGCAUAGGAUAUACUGUAUUUGCACCACCAAUAUUACUGAGUUAAACGAUGAUCGAAACGAUCAUUCAUGUCGAACGAGAUAACUUAUAGCAUUCCGCCCCCAAUACUUGGUCCGCCGUGUCGGUAACAGAAAGCUUCAAGUCGAUACUAUCCGACUUUCCAAUUCCCUUGGAAAUUCUUUCUGGUAUUCCUCCGUAAAAUCCUUCGGGAAGUCUUCGGGAAUUUCAAAAUUUCGGGGCUUCCCAAUUUUUUCAAGGAUUUCUUUCGAUUCUAAGAAUCAGGAAAGAAGCUUUGAUGCAACAUGUGCAUAAGACAUACUUGUAUUUGCACCACCAAUAUUACUGAGUUAAACUAUUAUUCAUAUCGGACGAGAUAACUUGUAGCAUUCCACCCCCCAAUAUGUCAUCCACUGUGACGGUACCAGAAAGCUUCAAAGCUUCCAAUUCCUUUGGGUAUUCCUACGGGAAUGACUUCGGGAAUUCUUCCGUCAGAUCCUUCGGAAUUUCCUCCGGAGAUUCUUCCGGGAAAUCUUUCAGGAAUUUCAAAUUUUUGGAGCUUCCAAAUUUUGUUAACGAGUUCUUUCGAUUCCUCCUAGAGAUCCUUCGGGAUUUCCUCCGAGAAUUGCUUCGGGAAAUCCUUCUGGGAUUCUUCUGAGAAUUUAUUCACGAGUUGCUUCGUGAAUUCCUACGCGAAUUCCUUCGGUAAUUCCUCCGAGAAAUCUAUCGGGAUUUCCUAAUUUUUAGGGCUUCAUAAUUUUUUAAAAGAGUUCUUUCGAUUUCUCCUAGAGUUCCAUCGGGAAUUCCUUCUGUAAUUGCUUCUGGAAUUCUUCCGGGAGCUCCUUAGUAAAUUCCUAUGCAAAUUCCUCCGCAAAUUCCUUCGAGCAUUCUCCGGGGAUUCUUCCGGAAAUGCCUUCAUGAAUUCCUAUGCAAAUUUCUUCGUUUAUUCUAUGUGAAUUCCUUCGGGAAUUACGUUGGAUAUUCCUCCGGGAAUUCCUCGGUAAAAUCCUUCGGGAAUUCUUCCGUAGAUUCCUCCGGGGAUUCUUCCGGAAAUUCCUUCGCGAGUUCCUUUUUGAAUUCCUUCGGAAAUUCCUCCGGGGAUUCUUCCGGAAAUUUCUUCGCAAGUUCCUUUUUGAAUUCCUUCGGAAAUCCCCUCUAAAUUUUUAGGACUUAAGAGUUCUUUUGAUUCCUCCUAGAGUUCCUUUAGGAAUUCCUUAGGGAUUUUCACUGGGAAUUCCUAAAACA